UAUCUCUGUAGAGUCUGCAUAUCAAUAAGCGGAGGAAAAGAAACUAACAAGGAUUCCCUUAGUAACGGCGAGUGAAGCGGGAAGAGCUCAAAUUUGAAAUCUUCAAGGGUUUACCUUGACGAAUUGUAGUUUAUAGAAGUGUUUUCUGUUAGAGAGGUAGUAAAAGUUCUUUGGAAUAGGACAUCAUAGAGGGUGAGAAUCCCGUAUUUGACUAAUUCUUUCUAACGUUGUGAUACACUUUCAAAGAGUCGGAUUGUUUGGGAAUGCAGUCCAAAGUGGGUGGUAAAUUUCAUCUAAAGCUAAAUAUUGGCGAGAGACCGAUAGCGAACAAGUACCGUGAGGGAAAGAUGAAAAGAACUUUGAAAAGAGAGUUAAACAGUACGUGAAAUUGUCAAAAGGGAAGCGUUUGACACCAGUGUUGUUUUCUCGAAAAUCAAUUAAAAAUGGCGGGAUUUUGUGUUGUAUUGACUUUAUCAGCUUUCUGCACUUUUUUCCUGUCUUUUUUAAUGCACUUUUCGUUUAACAAGUCAACAUCAAUUUCUUUUGUUGUAAAAGGGUCAUUGGAAGGUGGCUUUCUUUUCGGAGAAAGUGUUUAUAGCCUUUGAUCUCUGCAACCGGAGAGACUGAGGUCUGCAGCGUAGACUCUUCGGGGUUAGAUACAUUUGUGCUAAGCUAUAGCUUUUUAUAGACAACUUGUUGACUAUAUUUAGUCUUGUGGCUUACUCGCUUAUGCUAUUUUACCUACGCUUAGGAUGUUGAUGUGAUACUGCGAGC
rnacentral:rRNA from 1 species